rnacentral:lncRNA from 1 species
AAAAUUUGAUCACGUGGUCAAGAGGAAGACUUGUCUUUGUCUGCCAUUUCCGUUUCAGUGAAAUUUCCGGUCAAAAACUUUGGGUAAAACAACUUUACACUUCUUUAAUAUGUUAUAUAAAGUGAAUUUUGAAGUCCAGUCAUCAACUCUAUCUCAUCAUUUAUAAUAUUUUGUUUUAGGAUUACAGUUUUACAGCGUGUCAAACAAAAGGUAACUGUAAAAGCAAUGCUUGACCAAACAGGAUGUUGAGCGUGGUCUGGCUUUCCGGAAGUUUUGAUUAAAUUAAUGGUUUGCGCUGUAGCAGACAAUCAUUUCCUCUUCCGAUUUGAAGUUCUAAAAUUUUUAUGAAUUUAUCCUAGAACAACUGCGUUUUCAUAGAUUUCAAAUCAUGUUGUACAAGAUGUCCGCCAUGUUGAACAUCAAACGGCGUAGCCGUAGGUUUCAAACGGGCACAUGUUCAACAUUUUCAUAUGUAAGAUUGAGUUUUAUUCUUAAUUACAAAUAGUGAAAAUACACAACCUGAUGAUGCUGAUGUUUUCUUUAUUUCCUCCCUAACCAUCCAGAAGUUGAUACAGGGGAAAUAUAUGGUAGAAUUUCAAUCUGUUAUUAAUAAAUGUAUUGUGAAAAUUAAUGGAUGGUAUCAGCAAGAUUCAAACGAAUGCAUGUAACCUGGUCGAUUCGUAACUGGUGUAAUUAUAUAUGGUUAUAAAGUGUUAUUUUAAAUUAAUUAGUUUAAAUGAAACAGUUAAAGUUGUUAUUUAUAAAUGAUCAAAUUGUUCAUCGUGAGUCUCAUUGGGGUCUAAGCGUGAUGCGGGAUUGCCGAUUUUUCGUAAGCGUGAAACGUGAAAGUCAAAUUAUUGUGUUGUGAAAACGGGAAAUGAGGUCUUGCGGGACCCGGGAAAUGACAAAAAAAUGAGAAUUGCCUACGCACAUAGUGUAAACGGGAUACGGGAAUCUAACAAAAUAGUAAGCGUGAUCCAGGAUCGGAACCCCCCAAUACACCUUAUCGCUAUUUGUCUGCCAUUACUGGAUAUCACACAGGUUCCCGUAAAAUUUUGAUGUCAUAAAACAAAAUAUCUGACGUCACAAUGGAAAAGUGAUUGUUGUAUGCGUCAAAAGUUCAAGCGGCCGGGUCGGCCGAACGAUAAGGCUAAUAGCGAUAAGGUGUAUGAGACCCCGUUCAUCUAAUAAAGAUGGGUCUUUUCACCACAGAACACCACCACACACCACUGAACACACCACUGAACACCACCGAACACCCAAAAAAUAUCAACCACUAAGAAAAUCAGUGAUUUUAUACAAUAAAACGAUAAAAUCAAUCAAAUUACAUAUAAUUUAACAAUUUUUAAAAUUUUUAUGUGCAUCAUUUUUAUGAAAAAGUUGAUAAUCAGUAUAAUCAAUAUACAGAAAACCUUCUACGGAUUCAUCACUAUUUUGUGGAUUACAUUGUGUGUGAAGAAUCAUUUGACAUCUAUUAACUCAGACCUUUAUACAUAUAUAUUAAAUACUUAAAUUUUGUUCAUGAUUUUAACAUUGUCUCUUUUCUUAUUAUUGGUAAAACUAUUUUAUAAAAGAAGAAGUAAAAUGAAGAAAACAAUUAGGCCAACAAAAAAUAUAUGUCUGUUUCCUGCUGCCAAGGCAAAUAAAUCAGGGUCGGUAGGUCGGGAUUUUUUUUUUUUUUUAAUUUUUGCACUCCCUGUCAGAUUUGCAGUCAGUUAAAUGUCAUGUUUGGUUAGGGUCCUGUACCCCAAAAUUAUUUAAUCUCUUUAAAGAAGCUUUCAUUGAAUUAUCCUUCCAGUGCCGACAUUUUUUAAACCUUAAUUGUAGCACAUGUGUGCUGGGAGCAGCCAUUUUGAGUGUUUGGGCAUAGUAAGAUACGGAUCUGGAUGGGACCGGAAACAAUUUUUUUCCGAAAUUGAAUAAAAAGAUCUAGGGUCUGGGGUUUUGUGUCAGGGUCGGUCGUGAACAGGAAACAGACAUAUAUUUUUUUUUGGCCUUAUUUCAGGUGUCCAGUGGUGGACGUUUGAGUUAAUAUUAUAGACUCUCUUUGUCUGUUCAAUGUUGAUAUUUUGUCUCUUAAUCUUAAAAUUCGUAGAAUUGAUAACUUAAACAGUCAGAGCUCUGACAUAAACAAGUCAGAAUAAAAUGACUUCUUCAAGUCAGAAAAUGUUUUGAAAUUCUGACCUGUACGGGUCAAUUUUUGUUUUGCGUAGUUUUCCAUCGAGUCCGUCAAACCAGAAGAUAUUUUGAAUUUGCCGCCGAUCUAAGACACAUACGAUCACGUGGUUUUUUGCGAGAAAUCAUGUGUUUGAGAGUCGUUGUUUUGGGAGUUUCUCGAACAAUAAGUUAUUGAAAAAUAGUGAUUAUUUACGUUUUUUUAGUGAAAAUCUAGGUCAAUGUGGUCAUUUUCAGAAGGUAAUACAUGUACAUAUUACCUCCGUAUUUUCAUGGCCAUUUUAAUAUUUUUUGCGUGUGAAGAAGGUCUUUGCAAGUGAUUUUGUUGCUGUUUCAUGAAGGCGCGUGACCUGUAAAUACGGACGCGUGGCCUUUGAGAUGACCUGGUGUCUGACAAUUCUGACUUGUUCAGGUCAGAAAAUGUUGUUAUGAUAAUGAACUGUUAUUUUCGGGAGACAACUCGUGUUGUCUUAAACAGAGUUAAAUAUAAUAACCAGUCAGUGCAAUUUUAAAGUUAAAAUUAUUGCUUCGAGCUGAACAUCAUCACGUGAUUUUUCUAUUUUUAAACUCAAUCAUGAAUUGACUUUUUAACCUUUCCGAGUUUGCGGCUUAUAAAUAUAUUUGUUUUUUCGUUUCUCCCAAUGAGAAAAACGAUCUUUUGAAUAUUGAUAUUAAUGAAAAUGAAAUGAAAUCGGAAUAAUUUUAAUAAAGGAAAAGGGAAGGGAGGGUUUAACUAAAGAACCGAAAUAUUUUUUUAUUUUUAUUUUAAAAUGAUUUUAACUUGAGAACUGUAUAAAGAGAUUCACAAAACGGGUUUUUUCAAUUAUGAACAUUGAAUAUGAUAUUAAAAACAAAUCAAAUGAAAUGUAGGGUAAGGCUAGUCUCUGGGUUUACUCCCUCCCCUGCCAUUUGCGAAUGUUCAUAUAUUUUGUAAACGGUCGAGAUCCCCACCCCUAAACCAUGUAUAUUCUUGUAUGGGAAAAUAAAACAAACCCAAUGUAAUAUAGGGGAAGUCCCUUGGGGGGGGGGGGUUUCACCCCUACUGUGUGAAAACAUGUAAAUGGUCAAGAUCCGCACCCCUGAACCAUAUAUAUUAGUGUAAGGGACAACAAGACAAAUCAAAUGAAAUAAAGAUAAAGUCCCUUGGGGUCACCCCACCCCCUCAUGUUUGAAAACUUGUAAAUUGUUGAGAUCCCCACCCCUUAAGCCUAUAUAUUAUUAUAUGGGACAAUACAACGAAUCAAAUGAAAUAAAGGGAAAGUCCAUGGGGGUCAUCCCCAUCCCCCUUUUUGAAAUGGUCACCACCCUAAGUAUAAUAUUCCUGUUCGUCAUUUCAAGAAGAUUUGAAUGACAUACAGGGUCAAUCCCUAAUUAUAUGGCAUAUAUGUUUUCCUAUGAAGUUACACAUCUAUAAUUCUUACCCCAGAUGCUUAGCCACAUAAAGCAUUAACCUUUUAUUUGAAAUAUAGAUAGUCUUUGUUUCUACAGAAGUGAGAAGAACAUUGGAAGUCAGUAUGUUCUGACUUAUAAAAGUCUGAAUGUUCUGACUUAUGAAAGUCUGAAUGUUCUGACUUUAAUUUAAUAAGGCCAGAAAGACUCAGAAUGAUCUGAAGAUAAUGACUUGUUUUUAAUGUUUAGAGUAUUUAAGAAUAUGAAUGCUCUGGUCAUGCUAGUACCAUAAGAAACCCUGACAAGAUUUUGUUCCCAAAAAAAUAUAUAUUAAGAAUAACAAGUGUACGUACAAUUGAACAUAAAUUACAAAGUUAUAAAUGUUGCUAAAAAAUCUAUUUAAAAAACACCCAAUAGAUAGUUGUAGUGAAAAUAUUAUGUAUUUAUAUGUACCACUUCUUGAAGGACAACAAAGUCACCAAACUUAGUCUGAUUUUCUAAGUAUUUUCUCCUCAACAUUUUUUUAACAGAACAUGAUUUGACCUGUUUAAGUCAGUUUACAGAAAAAAAAUCCGAUCAAACUAGGUUUCUUCAUCUUAGCCCCCCUUUUUUCUCCUUAUCUGAAUCUGCUACUGUUGGGAUAAUUUUUUUUUUUUUAAGAAACAAUUCAGUCAAAUGUUUUUUAGAAUAAUGUUUUUUACAACCAAAAGUUCUAUAUGUUAACUUUACAGAAAAAAAGUCAUGAAAAUACAGAAAUAAAAAUAAAUUUUUAAGAUAUAAAAUUUGAUGAAAUUUGUUAAAAUAAAUACAUUUGAAUAUAAAAUAUACCAAAUACAUUUUUUUUAUAGUCCUCAAUAUUGUGACUUGAGGGGACCAUAUUUCAUCAGUCUUUUAUCUGGUUUCCCAUACAUUUUAAAAUCAAUAUGAAAAUCCUAGACUUAAAAGUUGAAAUAAGUUUAGUUUUGACUGACUCUUUGAAGUCAGAACAUGAUUUGACCUGUUAAAGUCAGUUUACAGAGAAAAUUAAAUCCAAUCAAAACUAGGUCUUCUUCUUCUAAGCCCCCCCCCCUCUCUUCCCCUUUUUCCCUUAUCUGAAUCUGCUACUGUUGAGUUAAUUAAUUGAUAGGUUUAUUAGAAACAAUUCAGUCAAAUGGUUUAAAAUAAUAUAUUUUAAAACCAAAAGUUCCAUGUGUUAACUUAACAGAAAAGAAAGGUCAUGAAAAUACAAAAAUAUAAUAAAAUUUAAAGAUGAUUUGAUGAAAUUUGUAAACAAAAUUUAUUUGAAUAUAAAAUAUACCAAACACAUUUUUUUAUAGUCCUCAUUAUUGUGACUUUAUUAUUGGGUGUCUUUUAUCUGAUUUUCCCAUACAUUCUUAAAUGCAUAUGACAAUGCCAGACUAAAAAGUUGUAAUAAUUAGCUAAAGUGAAGUUUUUGACUGACUCUUUGAAGUCAGAACAUAAUUUGACCGGUUUAAAACAAAAUACAUUUAAAUAUAUAUUGAAUAUGCAAAAUAAACUUUUUUAUAGUCCUCAUUAUUGCGCCGUAUGGGGACCUUAUUUCCUCUGUCUUUUAUCUGGCUUUUCCGUACAUUUUUAAAUCAAUAUGAAAAAACUAGACUUAAAAGUUGAAAUAAGUUUAGUUGGGACUGACUCUUUGAAGUCAGAACACGAUUUGACCUGUUAAAGUCAGUUGACAGAGAAAAAAAAUGUCCAAUCAAAACUAAGUCUUCUUCCUUUAAGCCCCCUCCAUAUCUGAAUCUGCUACUGUUGAGUUAAUUAAUUCAUAUUUUUUUUAAAAAACAAUUCAGUCAAAUGGUUUUUAAAAUAAUGUUUUUUAAAACCGAAAGUUCCAAAUGUUAAUUUAACAGAAAAAAAAGUCAUGAAAAUACAGAAAUAUAAUAAAAUUUUAAAAUAAUUUGGAGAAAUUUGUUAACAAAAUACAUUUGAAUAUUAAAUAAUAGUAUACCAAAUACACUUUUUUUAUAGUCCACAUUUUUGUGACUUUAUUAUUGGGUGUCUUUUAUCUGAGUUUCUUAUACAUUCUUAAAUGCAUAUGACAAUCCCAGACUUAAAGUUGCAAUACUUAAUUAAAGUAUAGUUUUUUACUGACUCCUUGAAGUCAGAACAUAAUGUGACUUGUUCAAGUCAGUUUGCACAACAGGAUUUACCUCAAUGAAAUAUUAAGAUAUCAAAAAUAUACCAAAUUAUCUUUUAUAUAUAUAGUUCUUAUAAUUGUGACUUAAUUUUUUGUGAUUUUUUUUCCUACUUGUAUCCAUACAUUCUAAAACAAUCACAUCACAAUCAUGAUAAUGCACGACUUUUACAGAACUUUGCAAGCCAUUUAGUUUUUGACAGACUCUUUUAAGUCAGAACAUGAUUUGACCUGUUUAAGUCAAUUUGUCCGAACAUGCCCAUUUGACCUGUUUAAGUCAAUUUGUCUGAACAUGAUUUGACCUGUUCAAGUCAGAUUGCAGAACAAAUUUUCCAAUCAAAGCUAGGUGUACUUCCUUUAAGCCCUGCUUCUGAAUCUGCCAUUUGUGAAUUUAUUUGAUAAAUGUUUAGAAACAAUUAAGUCAAAUGGUUAUUUAUUUUAGGGGAUCUUACAUAUAUUUCUUAUGUCUGACGUUCCCAUACUUUCAUUUAAUAUCAUAUGUCAGUGCCCCACUCUAAAAAUUUCAAUAAAUUUAGUUUUGGGCUGACUGUUUUAAGUCAAAACAUGAUUUGACCUGUUUAAAAGAAAAUGCAUUUAAAUAUUGAAUAUACCAAAUAUUUUUUUUUUUAUAGUCCUCAUUGUGACUUUAGGGGACCUUUAAUAUUUUCUCUGUCCUAUAUCUGGCUUUCCCAUACAUUUUUAAAUCAAUAUGACAGUACUAGACUUAAAGGUUGAAAUAAGUUUAGUUUUGACUGACUCUUUGAAGUCAGAACAUAGUGUGACUUGUUUGAGUCAGUUUGCACAACAGUAUUUACCUCAAUGAAAUAUUAAAAUAAUAAAUGUUUUGCUCUUGAUAAAUUUAGCUAAAAGUGGAUGAGAAUAGAUCCCUUAUUUUUUCCUUGGAAGAUUUGAAGUAUUGUCAUGGUACUAGUAAAUUCAUCCAAUAUUGUAUUUUGUAAAUCUUUUGAUAUUGACAGAAAAUUGUAUGAUCCAUUUUUUUCUGCUUUGGUUUUUGUUUGUAUUUUGAAAUGAUUGAAUUUGAUGACAUAAAUAUAUUAUGUUAAGAUUCUGGAAAGAAGAAUGUAUGAUGAACCCCACUUUUUAAACUCUUUGAUUCGAAACUAGUAAUCACUAUAUUUUAUGGAGAUUGAUAACAAAGUGGUAGUAAUGACUGCUUCAAGUCAGAACAAAAAUGACCUCUCUAAGUCAAAAUGCAUUAAAAAGGGACAUAAAUCUUAUUAGAAUAUGAAGAUAUUAAGUCACAAUAUUUUAUGCAAAAGCUGACCUGUGGAAGUCAUUUUAUGAUAAAUUAAAGUCUGACAUAAACUGACCUGUACAAGUCAUAUUCUGUUGAGUGCAAGAAGGGAGACAACACUUACAUCAAAUUAUAUCUGACCUAUGGAAGUCAUUUUAUUCUGACUUGUUUAUGUCAGAGCUCUGACUGUUAAAUAUUAUAUACAUGUAUAGGUCACAUUUACAACAAAUAAAGAUGUAAAAGUUAAUUUUUGGGUUGUUGCGGUGGUGUUCGGUGGUGAAAAGACCUACCGAUCUAAUAAUAACAAUAUUGUAAUGUUUUUAAUUUAAAACUUUCUUAUAUCUUUUUAAUUAUUGGCUAAUUGGUCAUUACGCUGGUGACAGCUUUGAUGUUUUUAUGACAUCUAAUGACAGGUCAUAAAAAGUAAUUAUAGUAGGUGUAAAAUGAUUUAAGUUGAUUAAUGGCACAUGACCUAUAGAACACGACCUAAAAAUAAUUAUUUUCUACUUUUUUCUCACUUUGACAUGCAAUCGCAUAAUCCUCCUCCUUUUUCACCCAAGCUGGGGACCGUCAUUGGCGGAGUUAAUUUUUUUGUUUUUGUUUUUAGAACACUUAACAUGCUUUAGCUUUAUCUAGUCCGAGAUUACUCUGACGUCCAAGGGCUGUUUUGCCAGACAAGCUGGGGCGAUGGGACGUCAGAGCUCGUCCCAUAUCAAAAAGUUGAUAUUUGCCCACCCAAAAUAGAUGCGCUGCUUCGUCGCUUCUGAUACAGACUGGUGGCCUUGGAAUUAUAUAAAUCAGACAUCAAUCUGUUCAUUUUUCAUUUAUCUCUUCAUUAUGAAAGUUUCACCUACCUGCCAACCUUUAUUUUUCCAUAUUUAACAGUUUUAACAGAGAUCCACCGAUUUCUGCAUUUUGACUUUCAUUUUCAAAGAUUAUCACAUGACCACGAGAAAACAAGCGAUGAUUUAUGCAAAUGACCAUAUUCUAACACCUCAUUCAUUUACAAUGCAAGUAAUCUAAAUAUUCGAGAGCUUCCGAUUGUUAUCGUGGUUGGCACUAAAUGCUAACUACCGAUCUCCUGUAAAGGAGGUGAAAAAUCGUGGUUGGUUACUAAAUGUUAGAUAUCGAUCUCCUAAAAAGGAGGUGAUAAACGUAUAAUUAUUUGCAUACUUGAGUCUCGAGGUCGCGAAAUCCCUCGUAACUUGAAGUCCAUUUGAAAAUAAAAGAAAAAUGUCUGAAUCGAUGGGUAAUGUGAAAUCUGUCUUAAUAUGAGAAAAUAAAGGGUGGCAGGUAGGUGAAACUUACAUAAAUGAAGAGAUAAAUGAAAAAUGAACAGAUUGAUGCCCGAUUUAUAUAAUUUCAAGGCCACCAGUCGACACCAGAAGCGACGCAGCAGCGCAUCUAUUUUGGUUGGGCAGUGUUUUCCCCAUGAUUAUUGGAUAGCAACGCAUGUCAAAAUGAUUUGUACAAUAUGUUGUGUCGCGUUGCAUCGCUUAUUUUUUCUUCUUGUUAGUUUUUGUGCCAUUACCUUUUUGUCUUUUGUUUUGUUUACUGUGUUAUGUAGACUUUGGGUAAAAAAAUACUGGUAAAAAAAAGUAAAUCAAACAGUUUGUAUCUUUUAUCUUUUAAGAAUAAAUAACAGAAAGCACUUUUAGUCUUUAAACUAGUCACUUUUUAUACUUUGAUCAAGCCAAUUUUAUCCUGAUACUUGUAGUUACACUUACACAUUCCCCAAUUUUGUUAGAUUACACCAUAACAAUUAACUUUAAACAAAAUUAAAUUUUAAUGCAGAACCUUUAAUAAAUUAAAUACUAUUUUCCAUAGCUUUAGACAUGAUUCUUUUAGACAAUUUUCAAUCAAAUUAAUAUUAGAAUUAUUAUUGUGUUAUUUCAUGAUAGACAUGAAAAGUAUACUUAUAUUAUCUAUGUGGAUACUGGUGAAAGGUUAUCAUGUCUAGUUGAGUUCAAAUCACUGCAAGAUAAAUUUCUUUUAAAAAUUGAACUUCUUUAAUACUAUUCAGCUCUGUGCUUUAAUAAAAGUAUGAGUGUCAAAAAUAAUUUGCAAUAUAUUUUUGUUGGUAUGUUCAAAGAAAGUGUUUAUCCUUGAGGUAACAUCCUUAUAUAAUUUUGCAUUCAAUUUGUACUUUAUUUCUGUUUUAAAUGAUGGAUAAAUGUUUCGUCCCCGAGGGUAUCACCAGCCCAGUAGUCAACACUUAAGCGAUUAAUUGUUGACAUGAAUAUCCAUAAUGUGGUCAUUUUAUAAAUUUCCUGUUUACAAAACUUUGAAUUUUUCGAAAAAACUAAGGAUUUUCUUAUCCCAGGCAUAGAUUACCUUAGCCGUAUUUGGCACAACUUUUUGGAAUUUCCGAUCCUCAAUGCUCUUCAACUUUGUACUUGUUUGGCUUUAUAAAUAUUUUGAAAUGAGCGUCACUGAUGAGUCUUAUGUAGACGAAACGCGCGUCUGGCGUACUAAAUUAUAAUCCUAGUACCUUUGAUAACUAUUUACACCACUGGGUCGAUGCCACUGCUGGUGGACGUUUCGUCCUGAGGGUAUCACCAGCCCAGUAGAUAACACUUAAGCGAUUAAGUGUUGACAUGAAUAUCCAUAAUGUGGUCAUUUUAUAAAUUUCCUGUUUACAAAACUUUGAAUUUUUCGAAAAAACUAAGGAUUUUCUUAUCCCAGGCAUAAAUUACCUUAGCCGUAUUUGGCACAACUUUUUGGAAUUUCGGAUCCUCAAUGCUCUCCAACUUUGUACUUGUUUGGCUUUAUAAAUAUUUUGAAAUGAGCGUCACUGAUGAGUCUUAUGUAGACGAAACGCGCGUCUGGCGUACUAAAUUAUAAUCCUAGUACCUUUGAUAACUAUUUACACCACUGGGUCGAUGCCACUGCUGGUGGAUGUUUCGUCCCCGAGGGUAUCACCAGCCCAGUAGUCAACACUUAAGCGAUUAAUUGUUGACAUGAAUAUCCAUAAUGUGGUCAUUUUAUAAAUUUCCUGUUUACAAAACUUUGAAUUUUUCGAAAAAACUAAGGAUUUUCUUAUCCCAGGCAUAAAUUACCUUAGCCGUAUUUGGCACAACUUUUUUUGGAAUUUCGGAUCCUCAAUGCUCUUCAACUUUGUACUUGUUUGGCUUUAUAAAUAUUUUGAAAUGAGCAUCACUGAUGAGUCUUAUGUAGACGAAACGCGAGUCUGGCGUACUAAAUUAUAAUCCUAGUACCUUUGAUAACUUUUAGAAGCACAUUUUUGUAAUAAGCUAAAUCAGGGGAAGUAACUCAAGUUUAAAAUACGCAUUUAUGACCACAGGCUGGAGUAAUAGAGUUAAUUAACAAAUGCCUGCUUGUCCCUCAAAAGUCUCAUAAGUCUGUGACCUGUGAUCUCUUAAUUAAUCAAAAUACAAGAAUCAUGUACAUCGAUUAAAUCCAAUCAUCAAGAUUAACCUCAAAAGGUAAAUAGAUCACGUGGUGUAAACAAUCUUCGAUGUCAGAACUGGAUUGAACUGGUCAAUUUUCAUCUGAAAUUUAAAUACCCCACGGAAAGGUUUACCGAUUUAUGAUUUUUUUUUACCGAAAAUAGCACCACGGUGAAAAAUUAUACAUCGCGGCAAGAACGAUACCACCACGGUAGAAAAUUAUACAACGUGGGCCCGCGGUCCUUAAAGGGCCUGGGGAGAACACUGGGUGGGCAAAUAUCCACUUUUUGAUAUGGGACGAGCUCUGACGUCCCACAGCCCCAGCUUGUCUGGCAAAACAGCCAUUGGACAUCAGAGUAAUCUUGGACUAGCUUUAUCAUACUCUAUUCCUUUUUCCUUCAUUCAGAGACAUCACUAUGUUGUUCUUUGUUUGCAUGUUUAUACUGGCAUAAAUCCUGUAAAAUACAAGGUUUCAUCUUAUAAAUGUAUUAGAUUAUGAAAUAAAAUUCAACUGUUGGCUAUGUAAAUUUCACUAUUCGGGGGUUUUGAAAUUAGUGGGGGCUAUUAGAAUAAUGAUACUUAAAGAAGUGAUUUUUUUUUAAGGAAAUUGAGGUAUGAUACUUAAACAAGUGAUUUUUAUGUCAUUAUCCUAGAUUCAGUACAAGGUCAUCACCUGACAUGACCUGGUCAUCCUAGACAACACAGAUGUUGGUUCUGAUAAGUUUAGAAACAUAAUUAGUCCCUGGAUCAUAAGUUUUUUAUAGCUACAACAAAAUUAAAUCACUUGGUGCAGUAAAUAUUUUGUACUACAUAAAUAGGUGAUUAUUAAAGAAAGACAACUCUUACUUCCAACCUUUAUGGACCUAAUGUUUCUUGAAUGAGUGAUUUAGAAAAUCACUUAUCAUGCUUAUCAAAUGCUUAUUUAAGUAUAUCUUAAACAACAUCGUAACUUCUUGGAGCAGGAAAGAUUUUGAUAUAUUUUAUAUUGGAAUCUGAUGGAAUCUCAUUAAUAUUAAUUUUUGUCAAGGGAGAUUACAAUGAAUAUAUGGAAAGGAUGUAAUAUUUAUUUGUCUAUGAAGAAAUAUGUAACAUAAAAAAUGUGGUGCACACUGAAUACGCGGGUUACUUAAAGUGUGCCCCACAAUUUUUUAUGUUAUUUCGAAUAUGCUGAAAAAAUAUUAGUCAUUUUUUAUAAUUUAAUUCUUAAUUCCAUUUUAAACCGGAGUAAAUUAUGAAAAACGUUGAUGACGUCACGGUCACAUGACAAAAUUAUGUCUCUGGACUGAUAAACAAAACGAUGUCAGCCUAUCAGAAGACACUGACAUUAAAUUAUAUAUAAAUAGUUCUUUAUUUUUAUUUCAGCCGAUAAGAAGAGUUUACGAUGGAAGAAAAUGGAGAAGGAGAUGGGAACAAUACUAUUACGGUCACCAUGACAGAUGAUGGUUAUAUAUCAAUGUGUAAGUUCAUUACCAUGUUGUAGUAAAAAAUAACCAAAACAACCUCUAUAUAUUUCCCCUUGACUUGGUAUCUUCCCCAAUUUUUUUCUAGCUCACCUUUCCAUGAGCUUAUGCUAUCAUUUCAUGUCCAUUGUUCAAACCUUGUUUACAAUGUUUAUGAUAAUCUUUCCUCUUAAACCACUAUAUACAUGAUAUAAAAUCAAAUGUACCAAUUUCAACCAAAUGUUAACUGAAUGAUCCAAAAGGUAUAUUACUUUUGUUCCUGCCCAUCAACCAACGGUGCCAUCAUGGCUAAUAAUAGGACAUUAAUAUAAUGGUAAAUGCAUUUAUUGUGUUGCAUUUUUUGAAUGCUCAGCCUGUCAAGAUCUGUGUAUACAUGUAUAUGUACCUUCAUAUAAUGUCAUAAUCGUAUUCCCAAAUAAUAGUUGAUUACAAGUACUUAAACAUGUUAAAGUUAAAAGGGUUAUGUUAAAACACACUUGUCGCUAAUUUACAAAGAAUUUACAAAUGAAGAGUCUUAACAAAAUAUUUAUUGAAUAAAAUGUAAAACAUCCAUAUAUUGAUGUUUUUUUAUACAGUGGCAGCUCCAUAAAUUUUCAUAAGUGGGGACCCACUGACUGCCUAAGAGGGGACCCGCUUCCGUCACACUUCAGUGAUUCCCUAUAUACAUUGUAACCAACCAAAAUUUUUACAAAAAGGGGGGGGGGCCACUAUAUUGCCCUCUGUUAUAUACAAUUUUACCUGUAUUGUUUCAGCAAUGAAAAGACCACAUGAAGAUGACGAGAAUG